AGUGAACGCUGGCGGUAGGCCUAACACAUGCAAGUCGAACGGCAGCACAGUAAGAGCUUGCUCUUACGGGUGGCGAGUGGCGGACGGGUGAGGAAUACAUCGGAAUCUACUUUUUCGUGGGGGAUAACGUAGGGAAACUUACGCUAAUACCGCAUACGACCUACGGGUGAAAGCAGGGGAUCUUCGGACCUUGCGCGAUUGAAUGAGCCGAUGUCGGAUUAGCUAGUUGGCGGGGUAAAGGCCCACCAAGGCGACGAUCCGUAGCUGGUCUGAGAGGAUGAUCCGCCACACUGGAACUGAGACACGGUCCAGACUCCUACGGGAGGCAGCAGUGGGGAAUAUUGGACAAUGGGCGCAAGCCUGAUCCAGCCAUACCGCGUGGGUGAAGAAGGCCUUCGGGUUGUAAAGCCCUUUUGUUGGGAAAGAAAAGCAGCAGGUUAAUACCCCGCUGUUCUGACGGUACCCAAGGAAUAAGCACCGGCUAACUUCGUG
rnacentral:rRNA from 1 species